AUACCUUUCUCGGGCCUUUUGGCUAAGAUCAAGUGUAGUAUCUGUUCUUAUCAGUUUAAUAUCUGAUAUGUGGGCCAAUGGUCCACACGAUAUUAAAUUAAAUUUUUAAGGGGGAAGGCCCGCCACAAUAGCUUGCUAUUGGGGUUUUCGAGAGUCGCCCAAGUGCUUGCACUACUGCUCGGGCCAGGCUCCCCCACC